rnacentral:rRNA from 1 species
UACAGAGGGUGCAAGCGUUGUUCGGAAUUAUUGGGCGUAAAGAGCUCGUAGGCGGUUCGGUAAGUUGGGUGUGAAACCUCCAGGCUCAACCUGGAGACGCCACCCGAUACUGCUGUGACUAGAGUCCGGUAGGGGAGCGUGGAAUUCCUGGUGUAGCGGUGAAAUGCGCAGAUAUCAGGAGGAACACCAGCGGCGAAGGCGGCGCUCUGGGCCGGAACUGACGCUGAGGAGCGAAAGCGUGGGUAGCAAACAGG